rnacentral:rRNA from 1 species
UGGGUGAUCUGCCCUGCACUUCGGGAUAAGCCUGGGAAACUGGGUCUAAUACCGGAUAGGACUACGAAUCGCAUGGUUUGUGGUGGAAAGCUUUUGCGGUGUGGGAUGGGCCCGCGGCCUAUCAGCUUGUUGGUGGGGUGAUGGCCUACCAAGGCGACGACGGGUAGCCGGCCUGAGAGGGUGUCCGGCCACACUGGGACUGAGACACGGCCCAGACUCCGUACGGGAGCA